rnacentral:rRNA from 1 species
GACGAACGCUGGCGGCGUGCUUAACACAUGCAAGUCGAACGGCAAGGCCCUGCUUUUGUGGGGUGCUCGAGUGGCGAACGGGUGUGUAACACUUGAGUAACCUGCCCUUGACUUUGGGAUAACUUCAGGUAACUGGGGCUAAUACCGGAUAGGAGCUCCUGCUGCAUGGUGGGGGUUGGAAAGUUUCGGCGGUUGGGGAUGGACUCGCGGCUUAUCAGCUUGUUGGUGGGGUAGUGGCUUACCAAGGCUUUGACGGGUAGCCGGCCUGAGAGGGUGACCGGACACAUGGGGACUGAGAUACGGAACAGACGGCAACGGGAGGCAGCAGUGGGGAAUAGUGAACAAUGGGCGGAAGCCAGAUGCAGAAACGCCGCGUGCGGGAAGACGGGCUUCGGGUAGUAAACCGAAUGAGCCUGAGACGAAGCGUGAGUGACGGUAAUGGGUAAAGAAGCACCGGCUAACUACGUG